UACGUAGGGUGCGAGCGUUGUCCGGAAUUAUUGGGCGUAAAGGGCUCGUAGGCGGUCUGUCACGUCGGGAGUGAAAACUCAGGGCUUAACCCUGAGCCUGCUUCCGAUACGGGCUGACUAGAGGUAUGCAGGGGAGAACGGAAUUCCUGGUGUAGCGGUGAAAUGCGCAGAUAUCAGGAGGAACACCGGUGGCGAAGGCGGUUCUCUGGGCAUUACCUGACGCUGAGGAGCGAAAGCGUGGGGAGCGAACAGG
rnacentral:rRNA from 1 species